rnacentral:rRNA from 1 species
GAUGAACGCUGGCGGCGUGCCUAAUACAUGCAAGUCGAGCGAACAGAUAAGGAGCUUGCUCCUUUGACGUUAGCGGCGGACGGGUGAGUAACACGUGGGUAACCUACCUAUAAGACUGGGAUAACUUCGGGAAACCGGAGCUAAUACCGGAUAACAUUUGGAACCGCAUGGUUCUAAAGUGAAAGAUGGUUUUGCUAUCACUUAUAGAUGGACCCGCGCCGUAUUAGCUAGUUGGUAAGGUAACGGCUUACCAAGGCGACGAUACGUAGCCGACCUGAGAGGGUGAUCGGCCACACUGGAACUGAGACACGGUCCAGACUCCUACGGGAGGCAGCAGUAGGGAAUCUUCCGCAAUGGGCGAAAGCCUGACGGAGCAACGCCGCGUGAGUGAUGAAGGGUUUCGGAUCGUAAAACUCUGUUAUUAGGGAAGAACAAAUGUGUAAGUAACUGUGCACGUCCUGACGGUACCUAAUCAGAAAGCCACGGCUAACUACGUG